rnacentral:rRNA from 1 species
AUUGAACGCUGGCGGCAUGCCUUACACAUGCAAGUCGAACGGCAGCACGGGAGCAAUCCUGGUGGCGAGUGGCGAACGGGUGAGUAAUGUAUCGGAACGUACCUUUCAGUGGGGGAUAACGUAGCGAAAGUUACGCUAAUACCGCAUAUUCUGUGCGCAGGAAAGCAGGGGAUCGCAAGACCUUGCGCUGAUUGAGCGGCCGAUAUCAGAUUAGCUAGUUGGUGAGGUAAAGGCUCACCAAGGCGACGAUCUGUAGCGGGUCUGAGAGGAUGAUCCGCCACACUGGAACUGAGACACGGUCCAGACUCCUACGGGAGGCAGCAGUGGGGAAUUUUGGACAAUGGGGGCAACCCUGAUCCAGCCAUGCCGCGUGAGUGAAGAAGGCCUUCGGGUUGUAAAGCUCUUUCGGCCGGGAAGAAAUCGCAUGGGUUAAUACCCUAUGCGGAUGACGGUACCGGCAUAAGAAGCACCGGCUAACUACGUGCCAGCAGCCGCGGUAAUACGUAGGGUGCGAGCGUUAAUCGGAAUUACUGGGCGUAAAGCGUGCGCAGGCGGUUUUGUAAGACAGGCGUGAAAUCCCCGGGCUCAACCUGGGAACUGCGCUUGUGACUGCAAGGCUAGAGUAUGGCAGAGGGGGGUGGAAUUCCACGUGUAGCAGUGAAAUGCGUAGAGAUGUGGAGGAACACCAAUGGCGAAGGCAGCCCCCUGGGCCAAUACUGACGCUCAUGCACGAAAAGCGUGGGUAGCAAACAGGAUUAGAUACCCUGGUAGUCCACGCCCUAAACGAUGUCAACUAGGUGUUGGGUGGGUAAAACCAUUUAGUACCGGAGCUAACGCGUGAAGUUGACCGCCUGGGGAGUACGGCCGCAAGGUUAAAACUCAAAGGAAUUGACGGGGACCCGCACAAGCGGUGGAUGAUGUGGAUUAAUUCGAUGCAACGCGAAAAACCUUACCUACCCUUGACAUGUCCAGGAGCCUGAAGAGAUUUGGGUGUGCCCGAAAGGGAACUGGAACACAGGUGCUGCAUGGCUGUCGUCAGCUCGUGUCGUGAGAUGUUGGGUUAAGUCCCGCAACGAGCGCAACCCUUGUCGUUAAUUGCCAUCAUUCAGUUGGGCACUUCAACGAGACUGCCGGUGACAAACCGGAGGAAGGUGGGGAUGACGUCAAGUCCUCAUGGCCCUUAUGGGUAGGGCUUCACACGUCAUACAAUGGUCGGUACAAAGGGUCGCCAACCCGCGAGGGGGAGCCAAUCCCAGAAAGCCGAUCGUAGUCCGGAUCGUAGGCUGCAACUCGCCUGCGUGAAGUCGGAAUCGCUAGUAAUCGUGGGUCAGCAUGUCACGGUGAAUACGUUCCCGGGUCU